rnacentral:lncRNA from 1 species
CUCAGGAUAAUACUGUAAUAACUAACAUUUACUUCUUACUCUGCAACAGACAUGUUGUUACGGGGCUGGCAUGAAAAGCCAGCAAGUAGGGGAGAGCCUAAGUUCAAGUCUCUGUACCCUUUUUCCCACAUAAUUCAGCUGAAUAGUUGAAUGAAGCGCCCCUGAUAUUUCCAUCCCGGUAGAAGAACACUCCUGGCCUUCCUCACUCAUUAACCCGAUCCCUAGGUAAGCGGGGUGGCUUAUCUGACUGGCACAUUCAGGUAAUUUGGCGAGCUAGGCUUUGCCCUUGUUCCUUCAGGGAGCCCCGCGGGGGGGCGCCAGUCCCUGGCCCCUCCCACGGCUCUGCACCUGCCCCUUCCAGCGUUGCACGGCUGCGGGACCCCUUUGCUUUUGGGGUUCAGAAGCCCAGCUGAUGGUCCAUACACAAGCAACCUGGCCUCUCUCCAGAGAUGGUGCCAUCCCUCGAAGUACGUUUUCAAACAGCUCUUGGAAUGUUCGUGAGCCUGUGUGCAAGCUAACACAAGAAAAACAGUGUCGUUAUUUUAUUAUCUCACUUUUUUUAAUAGGAAUGACAUGGGAAGACCGGAGGUGGUAACAAGUGAAUUAGGAACGAUUUGACCUUCUUUAUGACAGGCCCUGUGCACCGUUGUGCGGGUUGCGCACUGCACAACAUUAGACUGGAUGGUACCUCCCAGAGCUGUAUGAAGACCAACGGUACCAGCAGCCCUGAAUUGCCUGAACAAUGACCUUUAAAUGAACUCAAAUCGAGAGAGAUGUGUGAUGGCGACAGAAACUCUAAAAGUAACUUUAGAAAGCUUCCCUCAUUAAGAAAGUCAGGAGAGAAAGAAAAAAAAAAAGGAAGUCAGAACCCCUUUUAGUUUGACAGUUUAACUGAAAGUGUAGGUGCAUAGUACCAGAGACCUGGCUGUUCGAUCGCCAUAGCUUAGGGGUUCAGAGCCUGGGCUUAGGGAGCACACAGACUUGAUUUUGAUUUCUGACUGUGCCACUUAGUAGCUGUGUGAUGUUGGGUGAGUCCCGUACGUUCCCAUCAAUAAAAACUGAAGAACAAUAGAGAAUACCCA